CACGUAGGGGGCGAGCGUUGUCCGGAUUUAUUGGGCGUAAAGAGCUCGUAGGCGGCUCGUUGCGUCGGCUGUGAAAACCCGCAGCUCAACUGUGGGCUUGCAGCCGAUACGGGCGGGCUGGAGUUCGGUAGGGGAGACUGGAAUUCCUGGUGUAGUGGUGGAAUGCGUAGAUAUCGGGAGGAACACCAGUGGCGAAGGCGGUUGCCUGGAGCUUUGCUGACGCUGAGGCGCGAAAGCGUGGGGAGCGAUCCGG
rnacentral:rRNA from 1 species